AAGUCGUAACAAGGUUUCCGUAGGUGAACCUGCGGAAGGAUCAUUAAUGAAAUGAAGUUUUUUUGGGGUUUUUAAUCUCGAAAAAUAAUUCACAUUUUGUGCACUGUUAUUCUAUAUACUUUGGUUAGAGCUUUGGUUUCAUUUUAUGAAGUCAACUUCUUGCUGACUCUAUCCUUUCUAAGGACAGUUGGCUAUGAAGCGGCCUACCAAGGUUUUUUAUCAAACACAUUUAAUCCAACUGACCUAAAAACAAAUAAUUAAAUCAUAACUUUCAACAACGGAUCUCUUGGCUCUC
rnacentral:misc_RNA from 1 species